rnacentral:rRNA from 1 species
UACGGAGGGUGCGAGCGUUGUCCGGAAUCACUGGGCGUAAAGGGCGCGUAGGCGGCUCGUGAAGUCAGUGGUGAAAGCCCAGGCUCAACUCUGGGUCGCACUGAUACUCGCGAGCUCGAGUUUGGUAGAGGCAGAUGGAAUUCCGGGUGUAGCGGUGGAAUGCGUAGAGAUCCGGAAGAACACCGGUGGCGAAGGCGGUCUGCUGGGCCAAGACUGGACGCUGAGGCGCGACAGCGUGGGGGAGCAAACAGG